CAGUCGAACGGCAGCACGGGUGCUUGCACCUGGUGGCGAGUGGCGAACGGGUGAGUAAUACAUCGGAACGUACCUUAUCGUGGGGGAUAACGCAGCGAAAGCUGUGCUAAUACCGCAUACGCCCUGAGGGGGAAAGCGGGGGAUCGAAAGACCUCGCGCGAUUAGAGCGGCCGAUGCCUGAUUAGCUUGUUGGUGGGGUAAAAGCCCACCAAGGCGACGAUCAGUAGCUGGUCUGAGAGGACGAUCAGCCACACUGGGACUGAGACACGGCCCAGACUCCUACGGGAGGCAGCAGUGGGGAAUUUUGGACAAUGGGGGAAACCCUGAUCCAGCAAUGCCGCGUGAGUGAAGAAGGCCUUCGGGUUGUAAAGCUCUUUUGUCAGGGAAGAAACACCGGCUCUAACACAGUCCGGGAAUGACGGUACCUGAAGAAUAAGCACCGGCUAACUACGUGCCAGCAGCCGCGGUAAUACGUAGGGUGCGAGCGUUAAUCGGAAUUACUGGGCGUAAAGCGUGCGCAGGCGGUUAUACAAGACAGGCGUGAAAUCCCCGGGCUUAACCUGGGAAUGGCGCCUGUGACUGUAUAGCUAGAGUGUGUCAGAGGGGGGUAGAAUUCCACGUGUAGCAGUGAAAUGCGUAGAUGUGUGGAGGAAUACCAAUGGCGAAGGCAGCCCCCUGGGAUAACACUGACGCUCAUGCACGAAAGCGUGGGGAGCAAACAGGAUUAGAUACCCUGUAGUCCACGCCCUAAACGAUGCUGACUAGUUGUUCGGGAUUUACAUCCUGAGUAACGUAGCUACGCGUGAAGUCAGCCGCCUGGGGAGUACGGUCGCAAGAUUAAAACUCAAAGGAAUUGACGG
rnacentral:rRNA from 1 species